rnacentral:rRNA from 1 species
CUCUGGGCAUCUACUGACGCUGAGGAGCGAAAGCAUGGGAGCGAACAGGAUUAGAUACCUGGUAGUCAUGCCGUAAACGUGGGCACUAGGUGUGGGGAACAUUCACGUUUUCCGCGCCGUAGCUAACGCAUUAAGUGCCCCGCCUGGGGAGUACGGCCGCAAGGCUAAAACUCAAAGGAAUUGACGGGGGCCCGCACAAGCGGCGGAGCAUGCGGAUUAAUUCGAUGCAACGCGAAGAACCUUACCAAGGCUUGACAUGUUCCAGACCGCCUCAGAGAUGGGGUUUCCCUUCGGGGCUGGUUCACAGGUGGUGCAUGGUUGUCGUCAGCUCGUGUCGUGAGAUGUUGGGUUAAGUCCCGCAACGAGCGCAACCCUCGUUCCAUGUUGCCAGCACGUAAAGGUGGGGACUCAUGGGAGACUGCCGGGGUCAACUCGGAGGAAGGUGGGGAUGACGUCAAAUCAUCAUGCCCCUUAUGUCUUGGGCUUCACGCAUGCUACAAUGGCCGGUACAAUGGGUUGCGAUACUGUGAGGUGGAGCUAAUCCCUAAAAGCCGGUCUCAGUUCGGAUUGGGGUCUGCAACUCGACCCCAUGAAGUCGGAGUCGCUAGUAAUCGCAGAUCAGCAACGCUGCGGUGAAUACGUUCCCGGGCCUUGUACACACCGCCCGUCAAGUCACGAAAGUUGGKUACRCCCGAAGCCGAUGGCCUAACCACCUUGKGYGGAGGKAGUCGUCGAACGGUGGGAUC